UCCGGUGUGUGCAAGCGUUGUUCGGAAUCACUGGGCGUAAAGCGCGUGUAGGCGGCUUGGCAAGUCGAGUGUGAAAUCCCAGGGCUCAACCCUGGAACUGCACCCGAAACUGCCUCGCUGGAGUGCCGGAGAGGGUGGCGGAAUUUCCGGUGUAGAGGUGAAAUUCGUAGAUACCGGAAGGAACACCAGUGGCGAAGGCGGCCACCUGGACGGUGACUGACGCUGAGACGCGAAAGCGUGGGGAGCAAACAGG
rnacentral:rRNA from 1 species